GACGAACGCUGGCGGCGUGCCUAAUACAUGCAAGUAGAACGCUGAAGGAGGAGCUUGCUUCUCUGGAUGAGUUGUGAACGGGUGAGUAACGCGUAGGUAACCUGCCUGGUAGCGGGGGAUAACUAUUGGAAACGAUAGCUAAUACCGCAUAAGAGUAGAUGUUGCAUGACAUUUGCUUAAAAGGUGCAAUUGCAUCACUACCAGAUGGACCUGCGUUGUAUUAGCUAGUUGGUGAGGUAACGGCUCACCAAGGCGACGAUACAUAGCCGACCUGAGAGGGGGAUCGGCCACACUGGGACUGAGACACGGCCCAGACUCCUAAGGGAGGCAGCAGGAGGGAAUCUUCGGCAAUGGACGGAAGUCUGACCGAGCAACGCCGCGGGAGUGAAGAAGGUUUUCGGAUCGUAAAGCUCUGUUGUAAGAGAAGAACGAGUGUGAGAGUGGAAAGUUCACACUGUGACGGUAUCUUACCAGAAAGGGACGGCUAACUACGUG
rnacentral:rRNA from 1 species